AUGGCCAAGUGUGUUUGGUGUCUAGUAGAUGAGGAGCUUGUUGAACAUAUGAUUGGGAUCAGAUCAAAUGAUGCUCGGUUUUGGCUAAUGGAACUAGUGGAUACUCUGAAGGAAGAUGAGGUUGUCAUAGUGCUAGUUACUCUAUGGGCAAUUUGGUGGGCACGAAGAAAAGCAAUCCACGAGCAGGAAUUUUGGUCGCCAUUGAGUACAUUCAGCUUUGUGCAGAGAUAUCUGAAUGAUCUGUCUUUGAUCCCCAAGGGGCAUCAGCAAGGGGGGGCGCCAACCUCCUCAGAACCUGGGCCUCCCACAGACUGCUUAACAGUGGUCAACAAUCUAGAGAGCUCGUACCUGGGUAGAUGCAGCCCAAUUAUCCAAGACAUUAAAGAGAUGAUGACUGAAUUUGAAGAGGUCCACAUCAUGCAUGAAAAGAGAGAACAUAUAUGGGAGGCUCACGAUUUAGCCAAGUUUUCUGUUACCUUAGAUUCGGGGCGCCAUUUGUGGCUUCUAAAUCCCCCAGCUUUUAUGUACUUGCCACUAUCAAUUCCCGUUGAAUAA
rnacentral:rRNA from 1 species